rnacentral:piRNA from 2 species
UUCCAGUGUGUUGAUGGCUUUGAAUCUA